rnacentral:snRNA from 1 species
AACUAUGUUUGAUUAAAUAAAGGUAAUAGAUGGUGGGACAUAAAAAUGAAAAGAUCAUUGUUCAGUAAUAAAGAAAUAUCAUCAUCUUAUUGGUAAGAGCCCAAUGCUUGAAAUUCAAGCAACAUCAUCACAAAAAAUCUAUUGUCAUUCCAAAUCCUACAUUUUAUUACCUUUAUUUAUUCCUCCAUUACAUCUACUAAUGAUUUUCUUCUAAAUCAACCACCACUAUUGAUAAUUCAUUCAUUAAGCCUAUUGCUCAUUACACAUUAUUUUAAUGGCAUUAGCUCGUCUCAGGAUUAUUAAUCAACUGACUUCUCUGUCAAAUCCUGUUUCUGAAAAUAAACUCAUAUAUCUCCAAUA